CUUAAAGGAAUUGACGGGGCCGCACAAGCGGUGGAGUAUGUGGUUUAAUUCGACGCAACGCGAAGAACCUUACCAGGUCUUGACAUCCCGAUGCUAUUUCUAGAGAUAGAAAGUACUUCGGUACAUCGGUGACAGGUGGUGCAUGGUUGUCGUCAGCUCGUGUCGUGAGAUGUUGGGUUAAGUCCCGCAACGAGCGCAACCCCUAUUGUUAGUUGCCAUCAUUCAGUUGGGCACUCUAGCGAGACUGCCGGUAAUAAACCGGAGGAAGGUGGGAUGACGUCAAAUCAUCAUGCCCCUUAUGACCUGGGCUACACACGUGCUACAAUGGUUGGUACAACGAGUUGCGAGUCGGUGACGGCGAGCUAAUCUCUUAAAGCCAAUCUCAGUUCGGAUUGUAGGCUGCAACUCGCCUACAUGAAGUCGGAAUCGCUAGUAAUCGCGGAUCAGCACGCCGCGGUGAAUACGUUCCCGGGCCUU
rnacentral:rRNA from 1 species